rnacentral:rRNA from 1 species
GACGAACGCUGGCGGCGUGCCUAACACAUGCAAGUCGAGCGGACAGACCCUGCUCUUGCUCCGCUGACGUUAGGGGCAGGCGUGUGUAUCACGCGUGUAAACCGCCCCUGUAAUACGGGUAUCUUUUGGGAACACCGGCGCUUAUCCCGUAUGACCUCCUGCUGCACGGUGGUGGAUGGAAAGAUUCGGUGGUUGGGGAUGGUCUCGCGGCUUAUCAGCUGGUUUGUCUGGUAGUGGCUUACCAAGGCUUUGAAGGAUAGCCGGCCUGAGAGGGUGACCGGCCACAUUGGGACUGAGAGACGGACCAGAAUCCUACGGGAGGCAGCAGUGGGGAGUAUUGCACAAUAGGCGGAAGCCAGAUGAAGCAACGCCGCGUGCGGGAUGACGGCCUUCGGGUUGUAAACCGCUUUGGCCUGUGACGAAGCGUGAGUGACGGUAAUGGGUAAAAAAGCACCGGCUAACUACGUG